rnacentral:rRNA from 1 species
GUGCAGCAGGCGCGAAAACUUCACAAUGUGAGGAAUCCCGAUGAGGGAAUUCCAAGUGCUAGCACUAUGUGUUAGCUGUUCUUUUGUCUAAUAUCCUGAGGAGAUAAGGGGCGGGUAAGACUGGUGCCAGCCGCCGCGGUAAUACCCGCCCCCCGAGUGGUGGUCAAUAUUAUUGAGCCUAAAACGUCCGUAGCCGGUCUUGUCAAUCCUUGGGUAAAUCCGCCAUCUUAACUGUCCGACUGCCGGGGAUACUGCACAACUUGAGAUCGGGAUAGGUCAGAGGUACUUCUGGGGUAGGGGUAAAAUCCUGUAAUCCUGGAAGGACCACCGGUGGCGAAGGCUGCUGACUAGAACAAAUUCGACGGUCAGGGACGAAGCCCUGGGGCGCAAACCGGAUUAGAUACCCCGGUAGUCCAGGGUGUAAACGAUGCUGGCUUGGUGUUGGGGGUCCUUUGUGGGCGCCCAGUGCCGGAGAGAAGUUGUUAAGCCUGCUGCUUGGGGAGUACGUCCGCAAGGAUGAAACUUAAAGGAAUUGGCGGGGGAGCAC